rnacentral:lncRNA from 1 species
UCUUGGGGACAACCAUAGCAACCAAAUCAAAGCCAGAGUAUUACAUAGAGGAGAGAAGCCAACUGUGAAUGGGACAGAUUAAAAUGCUUAUGACCACAAGUGUGAAAGAAUCACACACAGCCAAAGGAGGAACCUCAACUACACCCCCUUUACAGAAUCAUCGUACUGCAAAUGAACAUCAAGCUACAAGUAAAGUAUAUGCUACAAAGGAGGGGAGCAUGGGGUUAUGGUAUCACAAAACAGGAGGCUUGACCCAAUUUGAGAGACUAGGAAAUGACAAAUGAGCAAGGGUAUGCUGGUAAACGGUUAACAACAAGUUCUCCAGAGUAAAAGUGUGAUGUGUAGUGUUUGCUGAUUUCCAGAAUGUAAAUACUUCUGCAAUGUCUGAUUUUACGCUACUACUGUGAUGUCACUGAAGGUGGAAUUGGAAAAAGAUGUGCACGAUCAGAUCUUUUCAUGAGCAGAGGUAAUCUUGCUCCAACUAGAUAUUAGGACAAUAAGCUAUUGUCUGGAGAAGAAAAGAUAGGCAGCAAGUUGAAUGGGU